rnacentral:rRNA from 1 species
UGGGGAAUAUUGGACAAUGGGGGGAACCCUGAUCCAGCCAUGCCGCGUGUGUGAAGAAGGCCUUUUGGUUGUAAAGCACUUUAAGCGAGGAGGAGGCUACCGAGAUUAAUACUCUUGGAUAGUGGACGUUACUCGCAGAAUAAGCACCGGCUAACUCUGUGCCAGCAGCCGCGGUAAUACAGAGGGUGCAAGCGUUAAUCGGAUUUACUGGGCGUAAAGCGCGCGUAGGUGGCCAAUUAAGUCAAAUGUGAAAUCCCCGAGCUUAACUUGGGAAUUACAUUCGAUACUGGUUGGCUAGAGUAUGGGAGAGGAUGGUAGAAUUCCAGGUGUAGCGGUGAAAUGCGUAGAGAUCUGGAGGAAUACCGAUGGCGAAGGCAGCCAUCUGGCCUAAUACUGACACUGAGGUGCGAAAGCAUGGGGAGCAAACAGG